AUGAACGCUAGCGGCAGGCUUAAUACAUGCAAGUUGAGGGGCAGCAUGAUAUACGCAAGUAUAUUGAUGGCGACCGGCGGACGGGUGAGUAAAAGGUAGGAGACCUACCUCAUACAGGGGGAUAGCAUAGAGAAAUCUGUGGUAAUACCCCAUGAGGUUAUAUGAAUAGAGGCAUAUAAUCAAAGUAUACGAGAGUAUGCGGUAUGAGAUGGGCCUACUGACCAUUAGCUAGUUGGUGAGGUAAGGGCUCACCAAGGCGAAGAUGGUUAGGGGUUUUGAGAGAGAGAUCCCCCACAUUGGAACUGAGAUACGGUCCAGACUCCUACGGGAGGCAGCAGUAGGGAAUAUUGGGCAAUGGGCGAAAGCCUGACCCAGCCAUGCCGCGUGAAGGAAGACGGCCUUAUGGGUUGUAAACUUCUUUACUAUACGAAUAGAGGUUAGUACGAGUUACUAAUAGGAAGGUAGUAUAGCAAAAAAGCACCGGCUAACUCCGUG
rnacentral:rRNA from 1 species